AGUGAACGCUGGCGGAGGCCUAACACAUGCAAGUCGAACGGCAGCACAGAAGAGCUUGCUCUCUGGGUGGCGAGUGGCGGACGGGUGAGGAAUACAUCGGAAUCUACUCUGUCGUGGGGGAUAACGUAGGGAAACUUACGCUAAUACCGCAUACGACCUACGGGUGAAAGCAGGGGAUCUUCGGACCUUGCGCGAUUGAAUGAGCCGAUGUCGGAUUAGCUAGUUGGCGGGGUAAAGGCCCACCAAGGCGACGAUCCGUAGCUGGUCUGAGAGGAUGAUCAGCCAAACUGGAACUAAGACACGGUCAGACUCCUACGGGAGGCAGCAGUGGGGAAUAUUGGACAAUGGGCGCAAGCCUGAUCCAGCCAUACCGCGUGGGUGAAGAAGGCCUUCGGGCUGUAAAGCCCUUUUGUUGGGAAAGAAAUCCAGCUGGCUAAUACCCGGUUGGGAUGACGGUACCCAAAGAAUAAGCACCGGCUAACUUCGUGCCAGCCGCCGCGGUAA
rnacentral:rRNA from 1 species